UACAGAGGGGGCCAGCGUUAUUCGGAAUUAUUGGGCGUAAAGGGCGCGUAGGCGGCCAUGCGUGUCUUCCGUGAAAUCCCUCGGCUUAACUGAGGACGUGCGGAAGAAACUGCAAGGCUCGAGUCCGGGAGAGGGGGGUGGAAUUCCCAGUGUAGCGGUGAAAUGCGUAGAUAUUGGGAGGAACACCAGUGGCGAAGGCGGCUCACUGGACCGGAACUGACGCUGAGGCGCGGAAAGCAUGGGGAGCGAACAGG
rnacentral:rRNA from 1 species